UUUGUAAUGAAUGAUCAUACAUACUUUUUUAUUUUUUUUGGUGAAUGACAAAUAUAUUUCGACAAAGUUCAACUUUAAUAUGUUGUUUCUAUAAAAAUUCUGAUAUUUUCAAAUAUGUCACUGCCGUUAGAAUCCGUUAUAAAAUUUUAGUUAAUCAUAGGUUAAAUACUUAAUUCUGAUUAGUUGUUCACAUUUUUAUCCCUUUUAUAUUAUACUGUUAUACUGUUUAGAACAACAUAUUUGUGAUGGCAAAAUUGAAAAUAUAAACAGUUCUCUAAAAGUUCUCUAACAAUAAUAAACCGGAGGGACAUACUUAAAAAUAUUAGAACUUUUGUAGGGACAAUACAUAAAAGUUGAAUUUUAUAGGCAUAUAUUUCUCGUUCACUAUAUUUGCAAGGAACUGUAUAAAAUUAAUCUUUUUUUUGUGUGUGACUGUAGGCCACGCACU
rnacentral:lncRNA from 1 species